rnacentral:rRNA from 1 species
GACGAACGCUGGCGGCGUGCUUAACACAUGCAAGUCGAACGGAAAGGCCCUGCUUUUGUGGGGUGCUCGAGUGGCGAACGGGUGAGUAACACGUGAGUAACCUGCCCUUGACUUUGGGAUAACUUCAGGAAACUGGGGCUAAUACCGGAUAGGAGCUCCUGCUGCAUGGUGGGGGUUGGAAAGUUUCGGCGGUUGGGGAUGGACUCGCGGCUUAUCAGCUUGUUGGUGGGGUAGUGGCUUACCAAGGCUUUGACGGGUAGCCGGCCUGAGAGGGUGACCGGCCACAUUGGGACUGAGAUACGGCCCAGACUCCUACGGGAGGCAGCAAUGGGGAAUAUUGCACAAUGGGCGGAAGCCUGAUGCAGCAAUGCCGCGUGCGGGAUGACGGCCUUCGGGUUGUAAACCGCUUUCGCCUGUGACGAAGCGUGAGUGACGGUAAUGGGUAAAGAAGCACCGGCUAACUACGUG